GAUGAAAUGGGCAGGAGGCUAAGAAACCAGAUAUUGAGAAGUGCUUAGAGGUUGUUGCCACUUUGGAAGCAAGGACGGUACUGGUGAGCUUUCAAAGCAAACAACGGUUCAAGCAACAGAAGUGGCGUCAAGCUUGGUGGAGACAAUACAAGGAGCUUGCAGGCUAGGAGGUUGCUUCAAGGCUAUGGUUUUGAUGGGUAUAUGAU